GGCUUCGUAGCUCAGCUGGUAGAGCGCUUGCCGUUUCUGUUGCUGGUUCGAAUCCAGCCGAAGUCC